rnacentral:rRNA from 1 species
UACGUAGGGGGCUAGCGUUGUCCGGAAUCAUUGGGCGUAAAGCGCGUGUAGGCGGUCCGAUAAGUCCGCUGUGAAAGUCGAGGGCUCAACCCUCGAAUGCCGGUGGAUACUGUCGGGCUUGAGUACGGGAGAGGCGAGUGGAAUUCCUGGUGUAGCGGUGAAAUGCGCAGAUAUCAGGAGGAACACCGAUUGCGAAGGCAGCUCGCUGGAACGCUACUGACGCUGAGACGCGAAAGCGUGGGGAGCAAACAGG